ensembl:lncRNA
UGACAACUGUCAUAAUCCUAAAAUAUCCAAAAACAACUGCUAGCUAUGGAUGGGAUUGGGAAAAUACAACGUCGUGCCGAAAAUUUUAAAGCGGACGAAAUAGAAAAGUUGGUGAGUUUAGUAGAAAGCUCAAAGGAAAUAUUGUAUGGGAAAUUUUCUAUGAGUCUGACCAAAGAAAAGAAAGACCAAGAAUGGCUGAAAAUAGCCGAAAAGGUGAGCACCGUAUCAGGGAUCAGUAGAAACGUUGAAAACGUCAAGAAAAAAAUUACCACACUCACAAUUGUCGUUAAGAAAAAAGCAACGUUAAUUUGUAAAGACCGGAGAAUUACCGGUGGUGGCAACUCUUCCGCUACCCCCCUGACACCGGCGGAGGACCGGAUUGUGGGACUCCUCAGCAAGGCUGACUACGAGGGCAUCGAUGGAGGCUUUGAGACUGGGUUGCCAGUGGACUUCUUGGAGACCACAACUUCAGUCAGUGAAGUUGUUGAAGUCGAUGCUACACAACCGCCUCCUGAAAAGAAAACACGUCCGCUGAAGUCAUCACCAGAAACCCUUGCUCUGCUAGAAAUUGAGAGGGAGAAGCUUCAAUUAUACAGAGAGAGAGUCGCCAUAGAAAGAGAGCGACUCCUCCUUGAGAGGGAAACAUUUGAAUGGGAGAAGAGUAGGGCCAGAGUGUGCAAAAAAUGUUUAACUGAAA